rnacentral:rRNA from 1 species
CGCGUAGGCGGAUGUUUAAGUCAGAGGUGAAAGCCCAGGGCUCAACCUUGGAACUGCCUUUGAAACUGGACAUCUUGAGUAUGGGAGAGGUGAGUGGAACUCCGAGUGUAGAGGUGAAAUUCGUAGAUAUUCGGAAGAACACCAGUGGCGAAGGCGACUCACUGGCCCAUUACUGACGCUGAGGCGCGAAAGCGUGGGGAGCAAACAGGAUUAGAUACCCUGGUAGUCCACGCUGUAAACGAUGAGUGCUAGUUGUCGGCAGGCAUGCCUGUCGGUGACGCAGCUAACGCAUUAAGCACUCCGCCUGGGGAGUACGGUCGCAAGAUUAAA